rnacentral:tRNA from 6 species
CAUAGUUCAGUCGGUAGAACGGCGGACUGUUAAUCCGUAUGUCGCUGGUUCAAGUCCAGCUG